CCCCCCCCCCCCCCCGCGUUGCUAACCUAGAUUCAUUUCUUCACUGAUUUGCUGCUAAAGUAAAAAGGCUAAAUUAAGGCAGCAACGUCUUGGUGUUAGAGUUUGUUUACCGGCAUCUUGUUGGGUAGUUAAACAGAUCAAACCAAGUUCAAGUGUAUGUGUAUGUAUGCUGCUUCUUCUUUUUCGUUUGGUUCGUAGCAUAGAUUUCCAUAACAGGGCACUAUAGACACUUAAUUCAUGUUGUAUACAUGCUAGAUAGCUAAAAGCUAAGUUUUGUCUGAAUUUUCUUCAGCUUAACUGGUGCAACUUUCAUGGUUUGAACAAGCUAGGACCAUUCCACAUGCUAACUUGCUUGUGAUUAACAAAGAUGAAAUCAUUUGCAUGAUUUGAUUCUAGAGCUAAGCUGUAGCUGGUAUGAGAUCAAUUGCAUUUGCAUGUAUCGAGGCAGAUAAAAGCUAAUGGCAAGCUACCUACUACAUCUUCUCCCCUCCCAGUGGUCGUAUGUGGUGAGCUCUCGCGUUUUGGUUGAAUUUGUAUGUGCUUUCCUUUGUUUGCUUGCCCUGCUCGAUUACUCAUCAUGGUGGAGUUCAUAAAUUGACGACUUAUUUCAUUUCUCAACAAAACAAAACAGAACAGACCACAUUAGCAAGUUAGUGUACUAUUUGAAUAAAUUGAAACGGGCAUCAAUUUUUUGAUAAAUUACGGCUUUAAUCCCAUCAAGGGGUAUGGGCAAUUUCCUUUUUCUGUUUCUAACUGAAUCUGGUUCAUGGUUAAACACCCACACAUUAAUCUAUCCAACAUCUGUGUAGGGGACCUGCUGCAGCGCGUGUGAAACACCGCUGAGCUCAAGAUCUACUUUGAGAGCAUCCUCGACACCAGCAGCAAGAAACCUCCUCCUCAACGCGUUCGUCCCAGACGAGCCCUCUUUAUCAGAGGAGGUGGAGGAGCAGGCCACCUUCCCUCUUCGCACCCGCCUCCUCUCUCCUCCAGCGCAUGCAGGGGAUAACUAAUGGCUACUUCCCCCUCCCGUCCUAGCCUUGCUAGCAUACGUGGUGAGCUACCCCUCUUUCCCCUCUCUACCCCUAGAUCAGCACUUGCAAUUAAUUGUACAUACAUAUGAAUGACCACACAUCACAUUUCGGUUCAGCUUUUACGUGCAUGGUUAAACUUUGACUAAAAACAAAGCACCCCUUUUGGAUUUCUAUUUCUAUUAACAUGCAGCAGUACGUAAUGUCCAACUAGAUUGUUUGCACGGUGAACUCCAAUGGAUACACACAGAGAUUGAAAAAAACUCGUCGGAGAUAAAAUCCCAAGCAUUCCUUCUUGGGAGCCUUCCUUUUUUUCUAUUCUUUCAGUUGGGUUAGGUUGUUGCACAAAUGCACCUCACCCCUUUUACAGCCAUGCUGUUGAUACAGCAGGCAGUACGAGGACGUGCACCGUCUGAACCCAUGUCAAGCUAUACCACAUGCUGCCACUUACCGUGCCUCUACAACCCUGUUGCUUAUUAGGUUGCAGCACUGUAGAUGACUGAAACUACAAUAGGUCAUGUGCUUGCAUCAGGUCCUGGUUAAACACUUUGCUAAAGAUAAAAAAUAAACAAGGUUCUAACACACUUUUUGGUUCGAGCGAACUCAAGUUUUCUUCCUAAAACAUCACAAUUAUAUAUCCCUCUUGUCAAGUACUCCCUUCGUCCGAAAUUAGUUGACGCCAAGACGGAUGUAUCUAGCAUUGAAAUAUGUCUAGAUACAUCCAGAUGGGGGAAACAUGAUUUAACAUGUGGCUAUAGCUAAAAGUAUAUCAUCUAUCUGCAGUUUGUUCAUAGCUAGCCUUGAUCUGCUUAUACAUAUGUGUGCCUUAAUUUUGUUGAAUAGAAGAAUGGUAGCUGUUAAUUGGGUUUCAGUUUACUUAAACUGCAGUACCGCCCGAUGAGAUGAAACUCAUGGAUAAAGAAGUAUCAAAUGCAUGUGUUUUCUUUAGUCAAUGUGUAUUUAAUUAUAGAGAAAGUAUUAAUUUGUGAGGCAGAGUGGAGUGGAUGCUUCCUCUACCUAAAUUGAUUGGGCUGCCCAAUCUGUCCCUCCUAAGAUCAAACAAAUCUCCAAUAAAGAGGACUCAUUCCAGCGACAAGUAAACUCGUACUUAGCUGGUUGCACGAUCUGUUAGCAUGUGUAGCAUUCUGGCUUGACCAUGGAGGCUCUACUGUUUACGGCCAAUCCCACACCAGUGCCGCUGCACCGUAUGAAUUUACCUUCAUGAUUGUUUCCUUGCGUAGCUCUGGUCUCUAGCAUGAUUGUAUCUUAGACAUUUUUGUUGAUUUUUCUUGCUGUAAAAUCCGCCUCUAUUAAUUCGUUGGACAUUUCUUACAGCUAUCAAGCAAGAGAGUAAUGGACUUUCACAGGGCAGGGUCUCCCCAUACAGGAGCUGGUGCUCUAGACCCUGGACGGGCCGAGACCGCCUGCAAGCACAUGAGGGCACUCAAUACCCAGUUUGCAAGGAAAUGUAUUCAUGAGAUAGUUAUUGUGUUAUGUAAACAUGAGAGAUGUAUUAUGUGAUGUUAUAUGAUGGAUGAUUUUAAUUCAACUUGGUUUUCUUGCUUUGAAUAUGAAAUAGUGCUGGAUUUAAUAUUGGACAAAUAAUUUCGUUGAAAAGACCCAACAAAUAGAAAUGAAACCAAGUUGUGGAACAAAAAGUUGCUGAAUUCAAAAAAGAAAAAAGGCCAAAACUGAAACUGGAUCAAAUGUAUUUAGGCAUUAAAAGGU
rnacentral:lncRNA from 1 species